rnacentral:tRNA from 1 species
CCCUGGUUAGCUCAGUUGGUAGAGCGCUCCACCUGUAAUGGAGAGGUUCCGGGUUCGAUACCCGGACCAGGCG